GUCUUUUUGAAAAAAUAUAAAGUCCAAUCUGCUCACUGAGUAAUUAAAGAGCCGCAGUAUACUGACUGUGCAAAGGUAGCAUAAUCAAUAGUUUUUUAAUUGAAAGCUUGUAUGAAAGAUUAGACGAGAAAUUGAUUUUCUUUAUUUUUUAAAUUUAAUUUUAAGUUUUAGUGAAAAUGCUUAAAUAAUUUUAAAAGACGAGAAGACCCUAUAGAUUUUUAUUAUUAUAUUUGAAUAAUAUAUCUGAAAUUUAGAAAUAAUAAUUUAAUUGGGGCGAUUUUGUAAUAUAUAAAACUUAAUUUUAUAAAACCAUGGAUGUUUGAAUUUUUUGAUCUAAAAUUUUUAAAGAAAAGAUUAAAUUACCUUAGGGAUAACAGCGUAAUCUUAUUUAAGAGUUCAUAUCUAUAAUAAGGUUUGCGACCUCGAUGUUGAAUUAAGAUAAUAUAUUGGAGUAGAAAUUAAUAUAAUUAGUCUGUUCGACUAUUAAAUUCU
rnacentral:rRNA from 1 species